UCUCUCUCUUGUCAUGAAGGCGAGGAGGGUAGUUUUCCACUUCCUCUCUCCAAGGACUGUGACAACUGUAAGAGGUUACUAUAUUAACCGCCUGCACAAGGAUUAAAUGAUUCAAUACAGGCUCACAGCUUGAAACAACCCAGAGCUCUGGAUUUUUCCGCAAGUGUACUGACUGCAUACAUGCACACUAUUGAAGUUGUAAAUUUGUAAUCCAGGCUAAUUGUUUCAUACAACGUGACAUGUGUAAACUGGCAAUUGCUGAAGACAGUAAGGAAUACACAGUAUAGAAGCAAGGGCUGCUUUAGCUCCAGCAAACAUCUGUUGGGUUUGAGAAUCAAGAUUUUCAAUUGGCUUUCAAAAUUCAGUUGCUAAAGCAGGAAUUUUUUGGACUGAAGCAUAACUGGGAAAAAGCUUCAGGCCAAACUCAGCCCUGCAGCAGGUAGGUGCAAGUCUAUGGAGUUGAACCAAGGCUGAACUUGGCCCUGUGGUUUGAUGGGCUUGGUAAAAUAUUAGGCUGGUUCACCGCAUCUUCCCUAUUUCAAAUCCUGCAAGGUGGCAUGUAUGUUCGAUUAAUGAGCCAUGCCUUUAGAAAAGUGGUGCUCUGCUUUGUCCGUCACUCUGCUAUUGAAUAGAGUUGCAGGGGGAACAAAAAAGAAGCACAUAUAUGGUUGAGAAACCAAAAAUGCAUGCAAGAAGUUUAUUAGGAAGUAAUACUUAACAAUGGGAGCCCUUCAGUUCAGCAACUCCUGGGGGUGAAAUCUUGGCCCCACUAAGGUCAAGAGGAGUUUUCCCAUUGACUUCAAUCAGUCCAGGGUUUGAACCUUGAUGUCUUUUUUUAAAAGCCGACAUUUCCAUUACCAAAGCUGGCCAGUAAGAUCUGCAAGGUCCAGUGUUAUGCCACCCUCCGCCUGCCCUAAUUUUUUGGGGACUAGUCACAGCUUUUUUUCUUUAAAGGAAGUUUCCAGUCCUGUUCACUGUGGACAGACUCUUUAAAAUAUACACUCAUGUUAACUUUCACCCUUACUAGUAUGUUAACUGGCACUGUCCUUUGUUAAAAACUCGUGUGUGUUAUGGCUCCCCAUACAGCCCAUGCAAGCCAGAUCUGAAUUAUGUGGUUCAGGCCCACAUCUAGUUUUGCGUUCUUUAGGCACUACUGUUAUAGUAAAGCAUGUACUCUGUGGCCAGGUUCAGAACCCAGGCAAUUGUGCUUAGUGCAGAACAUGCACACUGGCCAAGGGCGGGGUUGCUAUAGAUCUGUUUGGUUUGAUCGAACAAUUAAUCAAACACACCCAAUAGCAAUGUCUGAUUAAAGCAAAAGAUAUAACACAGGGAACGUGAUAGGGAAACUGUGUCUGGAAUUAGUGGUGUACAGGCUGUGGUUAAUUUUGAUUGUAACACAAUCAGUGUGAACCAUUCCAAAUAAAAUGCUGUUCCCACUGAGAACUACCUAUAUUCAGGUGUAAACUUGGA